GACGAACGCUGGCGGCGUGCUUAACACAUGCAAGUCGAGCGGUAAGGCCCUUCGGGGUACACGAGUGGCGAACGGGUGAGUAACACGUGGGUGAUCUGCCCUGCACUUCGGGAUAAGCCUGGGAAACUGGGUCUAAUACCGGAUAGGACCACUGCCUGCAUGGGUGGUGGUGGAAAGCUUUUGCGGUGUGGGAUGGGCCCGCGGCCUAUCAGCUUGUUGGUGGGGUGAUGGCCUACCAAGGCGACGACGGGUAGCCGGCCUGAGAGGGUGACCGGCCACACUGGGACGUGGAUACGGCCCAGACUCCUACGGGAGGCAGCAGUGGGGAAUAUUGCACAAUGGGCGCAAGCCUGAUGCAGCGACGCCGCGUGAGGGAUGACGGCCUUCGGGUUGUAAACCUCUUUCAGCACCGACGAAGCGCAAGUGACGGUAGGUGCAGAAGAAGGACCGGCCAACUACGUGCCAGCCGCCGCAGUAA
rnacentral:rRNA from 1 species